rnacentral:tRNA from 1 species
GUUAUUAUAGUUUAUUAAAACAUUAAGUUGUGGUCUUAAAAAAGAGUAUCUCUGAUAACA